UACGUAGGGUGCGAGCGUUAAUCGGAAUUACUGGGCGUAAAGCGUGCGCAGGCGGUUAUUCAAGACAGAUGUGAAAUCCCCGGGCUCAACCUGGGAACUGCAUUUGUGACUGCAUAGCUGGAGAGCGGCAGAGGGGGAUGGAAUUCCGCGUGUAGCAGUGAAAUGCGUAGAUAUGCGGAGGAACACCGAUGGCGAAGGCAAUCCCCUGGGCCUGCACUGACGCUCAUGCACGACAGCGUGGGGAGGAAACAGG
rnacentral:rRNA from 1 species